UUAAGCGACUAAGCGUACACGGUGGAUGCCCUGGCAGUCAGAGGCGAUGAAGGACGUGCUAAUCUGCGAUAAGCGUCGGUAAGGUGAUAUGAACCGUUAUAACCGGCGAUUUCCGAAUGGGGAAACCCAGUGUGAUUCGUCACACUAUCAUUAACUGAAUCCAUAGGUUAAUGAGGCGAACCGGGGGAACUGAAACAUCUAAGUACCCCGAGGAAAAGAAAUCAACCGAGAUUCCCCCAGUAGCGGCGAGCGAACGGGGAGCAGCCCAGAGCCUGAAUCAGUGUGUGUGUUAGUGGAAGCGUCUGGAAAGGCGCGCGAUACAGGGUGACAGCCCCGUACACAAAAAUGCACAUGCUGUGAGCUCGAUGAGUAGGGCGGGACACGUGGUAUCCUGUCUGAAUAUGGGGGGACCAUCCUCCAAGGCUAAAUACUCCUGACUGACCGAUAGUGAACCAGUACCGUGAGGGAAAGGCGAAAAGAACCCCGGCGAGGGGAGUGAAAAAGAACCUGAAACCGUGUACGUACAAGCAGUGGGAGCACGCUUAGGCGUGUGACUGCGUACCUUUUGUAUAAUGGGUCAGCGACUUAUAUUCUGUAGCAAGGUUAACCGAAUAGGGGAGCCGAAGGGAAACCGAGUCUUAACUGGGCGUUAAGUUGCAGGGUAUAGACCCGAAACCCGGUGAUCUAGCCAUGGGCAGGUUGAAGGUUGGGUAACACUAACUGGAGGACCGAACCGACUAAUGUUGAAAAAUUAGCGGAUGACUUGUGGCUGGGGGUGAAAGGCCAAUCAAACCGGGAGAUAGCUGGUUCUCCCCGAAAGCUAUUUAGGUAGCGCCUCGUGAAUUCAUCUCCGGGGGUAGAGCACUGUUUCGGCAAGGGGGUCAUCCCGACUUACCAACCCGAUGCAAACUGCGAAUACCGGAGAAUGUUAUCACGGGAGACACACGGCGGGUGCUAACGUCCGUCGUGAAGAGGGAAACAACCCAGACCGCCAGCUAAGGUCCCAAAGUCAUGGUUAAGUGGGAAACGAUGUGGGAAGGCCCAGACAGCCAGGAUGUUGGCUUAGAAGCAGCCAUCAUUUAAAGAAAGCGUAAUAGCUCACUGGUCGAGUCGGCCUGCGCGGAAGAUGUAACGGGGCUAAACCAUGCACCGAAGCUGCGGCAGCGACGCUUAUGCGUUGUUGGGUAGGGGAGCGUUCUGUAAGCCUGUGAAGGUGUACUGUGAGGUAUGCUGGAGGUAUCAGAAGUGCGAAUGCUGACAUAAGUAACGAUAAAGCGGGUGAAAAGCCCGCUCGCCGGAAGACCAAGGGUUCCUGUCCAACGUUAAUCGGGGCAGGGUGAGUCGACCCCUAAGGCGAGGCCGAAAGGCGUAGUCGAUGGGAAACAGGUUAAUAUUCCUGUACUUGGUGUUACUGCGAAGGGGGGACGGAGAAGGCUAUGUUGGCCGGGCGACGGUUGUCCCGGUUUAAGCGUGUAGGCUGGUUUUCCAGGCAAAUCCGGAAAAUCAAGGCUGAGGCGUGAUGACGAGGCACUACGGUGCUGAAGCAACAAAUGCCCUGCUUCCAGGAAAAGCCUCUAAGCAUCAGGUAACAUCAAAUCGUACCCCAAACCGACACAGGUGGUCAGGUAGAGAAUACCAAGGCGCUUGAGAGAACUCGGGUGAAGGAACUAGGCAAAAUGGUGCCGUAACUUCGGGAGAAGGCACGCUGAUAUGUAGGUGAAGUCCCUCGCGGAUGGAGCUGAAAUCAGUCGAAGAUACCAGCUGGCUGCAACUGUUUAUUAAAAACACAGCACUGUGCAAACACGAAAGUGGACGUAUACGGUGUGACGCCUGCCCGGUGCCGGAAGGUUAAUUGAUGGGGUUAGCGCAAGCGAAGCUCUUGAUCGAAGCCCCGGUAAACGGCGGCCGUAACUAUAACGGUCCUAAGGUAGCGAAAUUCCUUGUCGGGUAAGUUCCGACCUGCACGAAUGGCGUAAUGAUGGCCAGGCUGUCUCCACCCGAGACUCAGUGAAAUUGAACUCGCUGUGAAGAUGCAGUGUACCCGCGGCAAGACGGAAAGACCCCGUGAACCUUUACUAUAGCUUGACACUGAACAUUGAGCCUUGAUGUGUAGGAUAGGUGGGAGGCUUUGAAGUGUGGACGCCAGUCUGCAUGGAGCCGGCCUUGAAAUACCACCCUUUAAUGUUUGAUGUUCUAACGUUGACCCGUGAUCCGGGUUGCGGACAGUGUCUGGUGGGUAGUUUGACUGGGGCGGUCUCCUCCUAAAGAGUAACGGAGGAGCACGAAGGUUGGCUAAUCCUGGUCGGACAUCAGGAGGUUAGUGCAAUGGCAUAAGCCAGCUUGACUGCGAGCGUGACGGCGCGAGCAGGUGCGAAAGCAGGUCAUAGUGAUCCGGUGGUUCUGAAUGGAAGGGCCAUCGCUCAACGGAUAAAAGGUACUCCGGGGAUAACAGGCUGAUACCGCCCAAGAGUUCAUAUCGACGGCGGUGUUUGGCACCUCGAUGUCGGCUCAUCACAUCCUGGGGCUGAAGUAGGUCCCAAGGGUAUGGCUGUUCGCCAUUUAAAGUGGUACGCGAGCUGGGUUUAGAACGUCGUGAGACAGUUCGGUCCCUAUCUGCCGUGGGCGCUGGAGAACUGAGGGGGGCUGCUCCUAGUACGAGAGGACCGGAGUGGACGCAUCACUGGUGUUCGGGUUGUCAUGCCAAUGGCACUGCCCGGUAGCUAAAUGCGGAAGAGAUAAGUGCUGAAAGCAUCUAAGCACGAAACUUGCCCCGAGAUGAGUUCUCCCUGACUCCUUGAGAGUCCUGAAGGAACGUUGAAGACGACGACGUUGAUAGGCCGGGUGUGUAAGCGCAGCGAUGCGUUGAGCUAACCGGUACUAAUGAACCGUGAGGCUUAACCUU
rnacentral:rRNA from 1 species